ACGCUGGCGGCGUGCUUAACACAUGCAAGUCGAACGCUGAAGCCCAGCUUGCUGGGUGGAUGAGUGGCGAACGGGUGAGUAACACGUGAGUAACCUGCCCCCUUCUUUGGGAUAACGCCCGGAAACGGGUGCUAAUACUGGAUAUUCACUGAUCUUCGCAUGGGGGUUGGUGGAAAGGGUUUUUUCUGGUGGGGGAUGGGCUCGCGGCCUAUCAGCUUGUUGGUGGGGUGAUGGCCUACCAAGGCUUUGACGGGUAGCCGGCCUGAGAGGGUGACCGGUCACAUUGGGACUGAGAUACGGCCCAGACUCCUACGGGAGGCAGCAGUGGGGAUUAUUGCACAAUGGGCGAAAGCCUGAUGCAGCGACGCCGCGUGAGGGAUGGAGGCCUUCGGGUUGUAAACCUCUUUCGCUCAUGGUCAAGCCGCAGCUUUGGGUUGUGGUGAGGGUAGUGGGUAAAGAAGCGCCGGCUAACUACGUGCCAGCAGCCGCGGUAAUACGUAGGGCGCGAGCGUUGUCCGGAAUUAUUGGGCGUAAAGGGCUUGUAGGCGGUUGGUCGCGUCUGCCGUGAAAUCCUCUGGCUUAACUGGGGGCGUGCGGUGGGUACGGGCUGACUUGAGUGCGGUAGGGGAGACUGGAACUCCUGGUGUAGCGGUGGAAUGCGCAGAUAUCAGGAAGAACACCGGUGGCGAAGGCGGGUCUCUGGGCCGUUACUGACGCUGAGGAGCGAAAGCGUGGGGAGCGAACAGGAUUAGAUACCCUGGUAGUCCACGCUGUAAACGUUGGGCACUAGGUGUGGGGGCCACCCGUGGUUUCUGCGCCGUAGCUAACGCUUUAAGUGCCCCGCCUGGGGAGUACGGCCGCAAGGCUAAAACUCAAAGGAAUUGACGGGGGCCCGCACAAGCGGCGGAG
rnacentral:rRNA from 1 species